GUUUAAAUAGUUUAAUUAAAACAAUAGUCUUGUAAACUAUAAUUGGGGUAACCUUUAAACU
rnacentral:tRNA from 1 species